rnacentral:RNase_P_RNA from 1 species
UGAGUGAGCUGAACAGCCGCGUGAAAUUAUUUUCAUGAGGAAAGUCCGAGCACCGCAGGGCGGGAUAACGGCUAACGGCCGCCGGGGNNGUAAGGGUGGAAAGGCGAGGUAAGAGCUCACCGGCACAUAGGAGACUAUGUGGCCCUGUAAACCCUAUCCGGUGCAACGUCGACAGAAGCAAUACAUUUGCCCGAUGUGCUUCGACAGGCGGCUUGAGCUGUAUGGCAACAUGCAGUCGAGAUAGAUGGCUGUUCAUGACACAUUGUCAAGACAGAACUCGGCUUACAGGCUCGCUCAUUUU